rnacentral:rRNA from 1 species
UGCCUUACACAUGCAAGUCGAACGGCAGCACGGGAGCAAUCCUGGUGGCGAGUGGCCUUAAGGGAGAGUAAUAUAUCGGAACGUGCCCAGUAGUGGGGGAUAGCCCGGCGAAAGCCGGAUUAAUACCGCAUGAGACCUGAGGGCGACAGCGGGGGACUCGCAAGAGCCUCGCGCUACUGGAGCGGCCGAUAUCAGAUUAGCUAGUUGGUGGGGUAAAAGCCUACCAAGGCUACGAUCUGUAGUUGGUCUGAGAGGACGACCAGCCAGACUGGGACUGAGACACGGC